rnacentral:rRNA from 1 species
GGACGAACGCUGGCGGCGUGCUUAACACAUGCAAGUCGAACGGAAAGGCCCUGCUUUUGUGGGGUGCUCGAGUGGCGAACGGGUGAGUAACACGUGAGUAACCUGCCCUUGACUUUGGGAUAACUUCAGGAAACUGGGGCUAAUACCGGAUAGGAGCUCCUGCUGCAUGGGGGGGGUUGGAAAGUUUCGGCGGUUGGGGAUGGACUCGCGGCUUAUCAGCUUGUUGGUGGGGUAGUGGCUUACCAAGGGUUGGACGGGUAGCCGGCCUGAGAGGGUGACCGGCCACAUUGGGACUGAGAUACGGCCCAGACUCCUACGGGAGGCAGCAGUGGGGAAUAUUGCACAAUGGGCGGAAGCCUGAUGCAGCAACGCCGCGUGCGGGAUGACGGCCUUCGGGUUGUAAACCGCUUUCGCCUGUGACGAAGCGUGAGUGACGGUAAUGGGUAAAGAAGCACCGGCUAACUACGUG